rnacentral:lncRNA from 1 species
GAGGCGCUGAGGGGAGAGGCGCCGCCAGCGCCGCCCGGGGACCCGUUAGAGCGGAAGCGCAGCCGCCGCCUCUGCCGUCGCGGGGUUCCCGGCAGGUGAGGUGGGAGCCAUGUCGAAGCGUCUCCGGAGCAACGACGUGUGCGCCGACUGCAGCGGGCCUGAUCCUUCCUGGGCAUCAGUGAACAGGGGGACUCUCAUAUGUGAUGAGUGCUGCAGUGUUCAUCGGAGCCUAGGGCGCCACAUCUCCCAAGUCAGGCAUCUUAAACACACACCAUGGCCUCCAACCCUGCUUCAGAUGGUUGAGACCUUGUAUAGCAAUGGUGCUAAUUCUAUCUGGGAGCAUUCUUUGCUGGACCCUGCUUCUGUUAUGAGUUGCGGCCGGAAACCAGAUCAUAAAAACGGACAGCACUUUAUAAUCCCUCAGAUGGCAGACAGCAGCCUGGAUUUGUCUGAGUUGGCAAAAGCUGCCAAGAAGAAACUUCAGUCUGCACCAGCCUACUUCCCCCUGGUUAGGUGUACGUGCACUGUUGGGGCAGCUCUGUGAAGCAGCUCUCUGAGCACAGAAGUCCCUGCCUUGGAGCCCUGCUGCAGGACUUGUGCCUGUGUGUUUGCCUUGUCUGGCUCCUCUUGGACUUAGAGCUUGAGUGUGUAGGUAAAGCCCGAUUUCCUGCUUUGUGGUUCCCCUCCUUCCCUUUCACGGAGAUUUUUAUAGCCACGUAGGGUGUCACUAUCACGUAAGUGAAUUUAUUCCUGCUAGUACUUAAUUACACUGUGAAAUAAAUGGUUAUGCAAUUUG